rnacentral:rRNA from 1 species
UACGUAGGGUGCGAGCGUUAAUCGGAAUUACUGGGCGUAAAGUGUGCGCAGGUGGCUUCGCAAGUCGAGUGUGAAAUCCCCGGGCUUAACCUGGGAAUUGCGCUCGAGACUGAAUAGCUAGGGUACGGUAGAGGGAAGCGGAAUUUCCGGUGUAGCGGUGAAAUGCGUAGAUAUCGGAAGGAACACCAGUGGCGAAAGCGGCUUCCUGGUCCAGCACCGACGUUCAGGCACGAAAGCGUGGGGAGCAAACAGG